UCGCUCCUAUUGUCUAGUGUUUUGUAGUCUUCCAAGUCCUUUCACACUAUUUAGCAUUGCUACACACUCACACGAGAUGAGUGCACACUGACUUGAAAAAUAAGUGAAGACAACUUCCUGAGGAUUCAAAACAGAUGCGUUCGUGCUAACCAGGCAUCUGCAUCGACAUUCUCUUACACUGUCAAAACCCGUGGAACAGUUUGUUACUGGUUUGAAGUUCUGUCUUCUGUGUUCCUGGCUUGCAGUGUUGAAAACCAGCAGGUGUGAAAACGCACCGGGGUGGAACAUCAAAAGCAAUCGCUACCUCUUAUCAUUGUGGCUUGGCAGUAAGCUCCCGGACACCCAGGAUCAUGAUGGAUAAAAUGCACGGGACAGCCGCCGUCGUCAGAGGCACCGGAUUCCAAGACUCCUCAGGAAACAGCGUACAGGAGAGCACACUGCCUACUGUAAGGUCAGCGUAAGCUCCUUGAUCAAGCCUGGUCUUGCAGAUGCUCAAAGAUGAAGAAACUGCAGACCUGCCAGGGCUACAGGCAUGGAUGAAGAUAGAAGUCCUCAGCAAACAUGACCAAGGCAAAAGAAGAAUAAUUUAAAAGGAAUAUGUGCCAUGACACAUCACAAGUGGAUGGCUCCACACCCAUGUACAUACAGGUAUCACUAAUUGGAGUGAGUUAUAAACAAACAAGAACAAAACGAAGGGAGAAAAAGAA